rnacentral:rRNA from 1 species
GAUGAACGCUAGCGGGAGGCCUAAUACAUGCAAGUCGAGCGGUAGAGUGACUUCGGUUGCUUGAGAGCGGCGAACGGGUGAGUAACGCGUACACAAUCUACCUUUAAGAGGGGAAUAGCCCUGGGAAACUGGGAUUAAUGCCCUAUGGCAUCACGAGACGGCAUCGUUUUGUGAUUAAAGACUGAGGUGCUUAGAGAUGAGUGUGCGUCUGAUUAGCUAGUUGGUGCGGUAACGGCGCACCAAGGCGACGAUCAGUAGGGGGCGGUGAGAGCGUGGACCCCGACCACGGUACGUGAGACACGGACCCGACGUCCUACGGACGGGACGAGCAGUAAGGAAGUAAUUA